GUGGCAACCUUGCCUUUGCCUCCUGAGUGCUGGGAUUACAGGGUGCCUCCUCCAGAAAGCUUCUGUGGGUCUGAAGGAAGCCGGAGCCUUCCGCUGUGCCUGUGCUCUGUUGGGGUGCCAGGUGUCACCCCUGCUGGCUGAUGUGCCUCUGGGACUGGGACUGUGUCCAGUGUGUCAUACUGGACACUGUAUCCAGUGGGGCAUGUUUAGUCAAUACCAAGGCUGAGGAUUGAACCCAGGGUCUGAUACAUGCUAGACAAGUGCUCUGAGCUACAUCCCUAGACCUGUUCUACCUUUCUGAUCCAGGUGUGGAAAGACAGAGGAAGAAGUGGAGGGGACAGUGAAGAAGAAAGGAAAACAAUACUGUGGCACCAAAGAGCAAAUUUCCUGAAAGCUGUUUGUAAGAGUUCUUGGGUUUUGUUUCAUUGUUUUGUUUUUUGUUUUUUUUUUUUUUCGGUACCGGGAAUUGAACUCAGGACC